rnacentral:rRNA from 1 species
UAGGGAAUCUUCCACAAUGGACGCAAGUCUGAUGGAGCAACGCCGCGUGAGUGAAGAAGGUCUUCGGAUCGUAAAACUCCGUUGUUAGAGAAGAACACGAGUGAGAGUAACUGUUCAUUCGAUGACGGUAUCUAACCAGCAAGUCACGGCUAACUACGCGCCAG